GUAGGUACCAGCGGGAAAACAGAAUGUCGUUUGGGCAAUUUGGUCAGUCUCAAGGGUCACUGUGAUUUUAUUCUUCGUUUGCGAGGUCAACAUAAUGAGCCAUUUUAACCAUGAGCCCCCAUGUAGGCCUUGUUAAAGUCCACAGUAUUUUUUUCUUCUGCAUACUGGCUUUUUGUGUGUUAAAACUCAGAACUCAUGAUCUGCAGAGCAAAGCCAAGGUCAUGUAGAUUUUCUUCUGUGUUUCUGUGUAAUUUUGAUAGUUUUGCAUUUUAAAUGGCUGUUAGUAAAUUUGAGUGAAUUUGGUAUAAGUUUGACAGUUUGUGUUCACAGUCAUUUCAUUUCAUGUGGUUUCCAGUUAAUUGUUCUGUAACUUUUGGAGAAAUCGUGAGAUAUUUGUCUCUAUUUCAAUUUGAAUUUCUGCCAUUUACUGUCUGCUGUAGAACCACCCUCGGGGCGGGGCCUGACCUGUGAGGGAGGCCAUGUCUGCACUCUCCCAUUGGCUGUCAGGGAAGGCAGAGCUCACCUCCCUGAGCUGGGGUGGGAAAGCCCAAGGGUGUAGCUCUGCCCUCAGCUGAUGGGAUCCCUGUCUCCUCAGGACCUGCUGGGGCUUCGGCUUGUGGAAUGCUGGAAUCUGAGUCCUUGGUGACAGCCUGGGCUUCAAGACAGCCCCAGGGGAGAGUCCACGCUGAUGGGAGCCUGCUCUCCCCAGGACCCACGGGGGAUUCAGCCUUAGGACCUUGUGGCGUCCAGUUCACAUGGACAGGUGCUCGGUCUCCUGGGGACCCGCCAGGAGGUAGUGGGAGGAAAAGGUCUGUAGAGAAGAUUCUGAGCCACAUCCUGUGAGCUGUCUUAUAGAUACCAAAACAUCAGGCGGAGUUAACUACACGAUGACCAGACUGGACCCAGGACACGAGCUGCCACCAUUCAGAGAACUGGCCACAAAGAGAUGGGAACACGCGGACCCUGGAACUGAAGAUCAACUGUACUUACAGCAAGAUGGCGCUGGUCAGACCCCGAUGACCAAUUUCAAGAUGACUGUCAGAGCUGACUCUGCUAUUUCUGCAUGUAGCCCAUCUCCCCCAUUCCCAAUCCCCCACCCACCCUGUGUCUAUAAAAGCUUUCACCC
ensembl:lncRNA